rnacentral:rRNA from 1 species
UACGUAGGGUGCGAGCGUUAAUCGGAAUUACUGGGCGUAAAGUGUGCGCAGGCGGCCGAGCAAGUCGUGUGUGAAAGCCCCGAGCUUAACUUGGGAAUUGCGCUCGAAACUACUUGGCUGGAGUGUGGCAGAGGAAGGUGGAAUUCCAGGUGUAGCGGUGAAAUGCGUAGAGAUCUGGAGGAACACCGAUGGCGAAGGCAGCCUUCUGGGCCAACACUGACGCUCAUGCACGAAAGCGUGGGGAGCAAACAGG